UCGCCUCGACGGUCCGUCGCCCGUAGGCGGGU
rnacentral:sRNA from 1 species